GAUUCGCUAGCUCAGUUGGUAGAGCACAACACUUUUAAUGUUGGGGUCCCGGGUUCGAACCCCGGGCGGAUCACCA
rnacentral:tRNA from 1 species